rnacentral:lncRNA from 1 species
CCAAACCGAUGCACCUCAUUGCGUUUGACACUCUUUCACCGAGAAGUUCCCUUUCGAAACACUGCACUAUCACGCACCGGUCACAUUGCAGAGGUAUCCUCUUAGCUACCUUGUGGACUUCCAUCAGUCACUCUCGGCAUCCAAGGCGACACUGAUCUGUUUCCUAACCGACAAUCCUGUUCCUGAGGGCUGUAUUAAUACAGUUGGAUCGCAUUCUCUGGUUCUGAAUCACGAGGUCCAGGCCAGGAAAUUUGGGGGGGAUUUCUUGGACAUCUGGUGUCAAACGCCUGCUUUGACGUGUUCGUGUGGAGCACAAGUACGCUUUCACUACACAUUGGUGAAGCUUAACAACUCAAUGGCAUGUGGAUGAUGUUGUGCACGAUUCUUUUCUCGUUUUUGAUGGGGUGGUGCUUCUCUUCAGGAAUAUGGAUUUCUUCCUUCGUAAUCUCGAGCAGGCUCAGACUCAAGCCAAAGCUGCAGCCUUGAACGCUCAGAAAUCUGCUCAGAGCCUUGCACAGCAAGUGCAGGAACAUGGCAAGGUCCUUGCUGAGCAAGUCACGGAAAACACAAAGCUGCUUGCAGAGCAGG